CCAGGGACUACGGAAUUGGGUUAAUUAAAUUGCUAAAAUCGAAACGUCUCAAAAUUGAUUGAUACUCGCGUUGCAAUCGUGAUUCGCUUGAUCAGAUCUUGAAAUAAGAAGAAAAAUAAGAUUGUCUACAUGGUGUAACUGAUGGACGUUUUUGAAGAUUGAAAAUUGAAGGUUUUAAUAUUUGAAUCUUAUUUUUCGCAACGAACAAUGAUUAUCUGUUGCAAGGUUUAACGUCGCCGAAAAAAAUUCAUUGUUAUUACAUUAUAUUUUAAAAAUUUCCACGUACGCAAAUGCAAUCCUGGCGGACGAUCAACGUGUACAAAUACAGAAAAUAUAACAUCGGCGUGGGCGGACGACAUUUCUCAAACUUAUAAAAAUGCACUGGAUCACGACACACGUAAACACAUUUGGCAGUAGUGUAAACGCACGCCGGCGCUUGUCUGAAAUUGAAAUCCAUUGGCGAGUCUUCAACAUACCGGAACAUCUAUCAUGUGAACAUAUGAUCGCACAUCAUCGCAAUUAUUGUAUCAUAACGACGACGAAUCAUCAAUUCGAAGUGGGACAAAGCCACGAGUAUUAAUGGAAUUUCCCCGAAAAUUGGCUACUGCUCGGCAAUGUCGAGUCUACCAAAAGCAACGUGAGUCCGUCCCC